rnacentral:rRNA from 1 species
AUUGAACGCUGGCGGCAUGCUUUACACAUGCAAGUCGAACGGCAGCGCGGGCUUCGGCCUGGCGGCGGGUGGCGAACGGGUGAGUAAUACAUCGGAACGUGCCCAGUAGUGGGGGAUAGCUCGGCGAAAGCCGGAUUAAUACCGCAUACGACCUGAGGGUGAAAGCGGGGGAUCUUCGGACCUCGCGCUAUUGGAGCGGCCGAUGGCAGAUUAGCUAGUUGGUGGGGUAAAGGCCUACCAAGGCGACGAUCUGUAGCUGGUCUGAGAGGACGACCAGCCACACUGGGACUGAGACACGGCCCAGACUCCUACGGGAGGCAGCAGUAGGGAAUUUUGGACAAUGGGCGAAAGCCUGAUCCAGCAAUGCCGCGUGUGUGAUGAAGGCCUUCGGGUUGUAAAGCACUUUUGGCGGGAACGAAAAGGACUGUGCCAAUACCACGGUUCGAUGACGGUACCCGCAGAAUAAGCACCGGCUAACUACGUG